CCAUUCCAUCGAUAUCAUCUCAUCAUCACCACACCAACAAUCGAUCAUCUUCUCAUCCUCCACCAUAUCCAUCGAUCCGCCGAGCCACCAUCAUCACCAUCGAUCCGCCAAGCCACCAUCGUCACCAUCAAUCCGAUCUCCAUAGCUCUAUCACGACAUCAUCAAGCCAUCUUUGCACUUGUAGCCUUUAUUCUUCAGAGUAGAUCACCUUGG
rnacentral:lncRNA from 1 species